rnacentral:rRNA from 1 species
GACGAACGCUGGCGGCGUGCUUAACACAUGCAAGUCGAACGGUAAGGCCCUUCGGGGUACACGAGUGGCGAACGGGUGAGUAACACGUGGGUGAUCUGCCCUGCACUUCGGGAUAAGCCUGGGAAACUGGGUCUAAUACCGGAUAGGACUCCUGCCUGCAUGGGUGGGGGUGGAAAGCUUUUGCGGUGUGGGAUGGGCCGGCGGCCUAUCAGCUUGUUGGUGGGGUGAUGGCCUACAAAGGCGACGACGGGUAGCCGGCCUGAGAGGGUGACCGGCCACACCGGGACUGGGAUACAGCCCAAACUCCUACGGGAGGAAGAAGUGGUGAAUAUUGCACAAUGGGCGCAAGCCUGAUGCAGCGACGCCGCGUGAGGGAUGAAGGCCUUCGGGUUGUAAACCUCUUUCAGCACAGACGAAGCGCAAGUGACGGUAUGUGCAGAAGAAGGACCGGCCAACUACGUGCCAGCCGCCGCGGUAA